UCUUUCUAGUACUAAGGAGUAUAAGUGGCUUCCAACCACACGGUCUUGGUUAGAGUCCAAGGAAAGAU
rnacentral:tRNA from 10 species